rnacentral:rRNA from 1 species
UACGAGGGGGGCGAGCGUUGUCCGGAUUUACUGGGCGUAAAGCGCGCGCAGGCGGUCGUUCAAGUCGAGUGUGAAAGCCCCCGGCUCAACUGGGGAGGGUCACUCGAUACUGAUCGACUUGAAGGCAGAAGAGGGAAGCGGAAUUCCCGGUGUAGUGGUGAAAUGCGUAGAUAUCGGGAGGAACACCAGUGGCGAAGGCGGCUUUCUGGUCUGUUCUUGACGCUGAGGCGCGAAAGCUAGGGUAGCAAACGGG